GGCGGAGUGGCCGAGAAGGUGGUGGAUUGUAGCUCCAAGUACAGGGGUUAAUUCCCCUCUUCGUC
rnacentral:tRNA from 1 species